UAAGAGUUAGUUUAAUAACAAGAAUAAUUGACUGUUAAUCAAUAGGUGGAUUACUCUUAA
rnacentral:tRNA from 1 species